UUACGAGGACAGAUUUGUAUGCUUGCAACCUCGUACAAAAAAUGCUAAAAU
rnacentral:ncRNA from 1 species